AAGCUAGGGGUGCUUCAUAGCUGAGAGACUUUGGUCAACCCUUAAAACUUGAUGCGGUUAAUACCGUCGAAAGAAAGCUAACUA
rnacentral:ncRNA from 1 species